GAAUUCGCCCUUAGAGUUUGAUCCUGGCUCAGGACGAACGCUGGCGGCGCGCCUAACACAUGCAAGUCGAACGGAGCUUAGAGAGCUUGCUUUUUAAGCUUAGUGGCGAACGGGUGAGUAACGCGUGAGUAACCUGCCCUAGAGUGGGGGACAACAGUUGGAAACGACUGCUAAUACCGCAUAAGCCCACGGUGCCGCAUGACACUGAGGGAAAAGGAUUUAUUCGCUUUAGGAUGGACUCGCGUCCAAUUAGCUAGUUGGUGAGGUAACGGCCCACCAAGGCGACGAUUGGUAGCCGGACUGAGAGGUUGAACGGCCACAUUGGGACUGAGACACGGCCCAGACUCCUACGGGAGGCAGCAGUGGGGGAUAUUGCACAAUGGGGGAAACCCUGAUGCAGCGACGCCGCGUGGAGGAAGAAGGUUUUCGGAUUGUAAACUCCUGUCGUUAGGGACGAUAAUGACGGUACCUAACAAGAAAGCACCGGCUAACUACGUGCCAGCAGCCGCGGUAAAACGUAGGGUGCAAGCGUUGUCCGGAAUUACUGGGUGUAAAGGGAGCGCAGGCGGGAAGACAAGUUGGAAGUGAAAACCAUGGGCUCAACCCAUGAAUUGCUUUCAAAACUGUUUUUCUUGAGUAGUGCAGAGGUAGAUGGAAUUCCCGGUGUAGCGGUGGAAUGCGUAGAUAUCGGGAGGAACACCAGUGGCGAAGGCGGUCUACUGGGCACCAACUGACGCUGAGGCUCGAAAGCAUGGGUAGCAAACAGGAUUAGAUACCCUGGUAGUCCAUGCCGUAAACGAUGAUUACUAGGUGUUGGGGGAUUGACCCCCUCAGUGCCGCAGUUAACACAAUAAGUAAUCCACCUGGGGAGUACGACCGCAAGGUUGAAACUCAAAGGAAUUGACGGGGGCCCGCACAAGCAGUGGAGUAUGUGGUUUAAUUCGAAGCAACGCGAAGAACCUUACCAGGUCUUGACAUCCGAUGCAUAGCACAGAGAUGUGUGAAAUCCUUCGGGACAUCGAGACAGGUGGUGCAUGGUUGUCGUCAGCUCGUGUCGUGAGAUGUUGGGUUAAGUCCCGCAACGAGCGCAACCCUUAUCUUCAGUUACUAACGCGUAGAGGUGAGGACUCUGAAGAGACUGCCGGGGACAACUCGGAGGAAGGUGGGGACGACGUCAAAUCAUCAUGCCCCUUAUGACCUGGGCUACACACGUGCUACAAUGGCCACGACAGAGAGAAGCGAAAUCGCAAGGUAGAGCGGAACUCAAAAAAGUGGUCCCAGUUCGGAUUGUGGGCUGCAACCCGCCCACAUGAAGUCGGAGUUGCUAGUAAUCGCGGAUCAGCAUGCCGCGGUGAAUACGUUCCCGGGCCUUGCACACACCGCCCGUCA
rnacentral:rRNA from 1 species